UCAUUCUGUUUUUCAGGCAAAGAAAUUCAAGGAGGAUCUGAAGGAAGCCUGCAGGUCUCUCUUGUUUCAUGAUUUUGUGGCAAACUGCUUGACAAAAGAACAUCGGGUUCGGGCGCGAAGAAGAGUGACAGGUCGGAGUUUUUGGAAAACGGGUGGGAUCCGGAGCUCAGCUUUCCCAUCACAUUUCAGUUAAUUGGCGCUGGUUCGAUAACCAUGGGGAAUACUUGUUAUCUCAAUUCGGUGUUGCAGUGCUUGACAUAUACUGAGCUUUUAGCUGCCUAAUUGCAAAGUGGCAGGCAUCGAAAUUAUAUACAAGUGCUCCAAGGAUAAACAUAUGCAAUUGUUGAGACAUUCAAGGAGACUGAUUGCAGCUGGAGCAGGAAUUGCCUUAAUUGAUUCAGUGGUGAUUUCUCAAUCAGUGUCUUGCUGAUAAUCUAGGCUAAUUAUGUGUCCUGAACUGUUUGGGUGAUAUGUUUGCAUUGAAGUUCAAUUGAUUGUGAGACUCUUCUUCAAAAAGAUCAAAAUUUUAUAUGGUGUAAAUCUCGUCUCUUCCAAUACAUUUUGUUUCUUAUCUCAGGUAGAAGAGUCAAAGAACACCAGGGAUCCACCUACUGGUUUUGCUUUAAUAAGACCUCCAGGACACCAUGCAAUUUCAAAGGGUCUGAUGGGGUUUUGUUUAUUUGGAAAUAUUGCAAUUGCAGCUCAUUAUGCUCAACGUGCACAUGGCUUGAAGGGUGUCUUUAUAAUUGAUUUUGAUGUUCACCACGGGAAUGGGACAAAUGAUGCUUUCUAUGAGGAUCCGGAUAUAUUCUUCCUUUCAACUCACCAAAAAGUAGUGCAAAGAUGGCCUUGCUUAUGGAAUGGUACACAAUGACCGUUUUACUUAUUUGCAAGCCUUUUGUUUUGUAUAUGGAGAAGUUUAGGCCAUAUGUCCCAUUCUCCCUACUCUUUGUACACUUUUUAUCAAAAAUAGUAUUAAUGAGA